rnacentral:rRNA from 1 species
CCUACGGGUGGCAGCAGCGGGGAAUAUUGGACAAUGGGGGGAACCCUGAUCCAGCCAUGCCGCGUGUGUGAAGAAGGCCCUCGGGUUGUAAAGCACUUUCAGUGAGGAAGAACGCCUGGUGGUUAAUACCCAUCAGGAAAGACAUCACUCACAGAAGAAGCACCGGCUAACUCCGUGGCCAGCAGCCGCGGUAAUACGGAGGGUGCGAGCGUUAAUCGGAAUUACUGGGCGUAAAGCGCGCGUAGGUGGCUUGAUAAGCCGGUUGUGAAAGCCCCGGGCUCAACCUGGGAACGGCAUCCGGAACUGUCAAGCUAGAGUGCAGGAGAGGAAGGUAGAAUUCCCGGUGUAGCGGUGAAAUGCGUAGAGAUCGGGAGGAAUACCAGUGGCGAAGGCGGCCUUCUGGACUGACACUGACACUGAGGUGCGAAAGCGUGGGUAGCAAACAGGAUUAGAUACCCUUGUAGUC